rnacentral:lncRNA from 1 species
UAAUUAUUGUGUUUUAGUUUUCAAUUUUAUUUACAUUUAUUUAUGUGUUUUAAAAGAUAAUAUGUACAUUGUGUAGAAAAGCCAAAAGAAUUUUGUUGCAUCGACAUAAUCAGCGCAAACAUAACGUCAAUGUAAUAAUUUUCACAAAUAGCAUGACAUUAAAAAAAAUUGUAAUAUCUUUGCCACACUGCAUUUACAAAAUCUUCUCUUGUCACAGUAUAAAAUUAAAUACUGCAGUAAAAACUCACAUAUAAUUAAAAAGGCAUAAUUAGUUUCUCUCUCGAUAUUUUUCCUCCCAUCACACGACCCCCUUAAGCGGCCAAUAAAAAUCGCGAGUCUCCUACCACAGUGCCAACCUUUCAAAUGCAACGUGUAUUAAAAGCGCGAGCGGUGCGCAUGAGAAAGUAUAAACGAAAAGCGCAACAAUACCAAAAAAGCGUUAUAACUAUUGCGCGUAAUGCUGGACUUUAAAAGAGUCCAUCGUUCCGUUCCGGCAAAUACCGCGCGACUUAAAUUGCGUCACGGUCCUUCCCGUGCUAUCCCGUGAACACAUUUAAUUCCAUUCGCGAACCACCCUCCGUCCCGCCCGCACCGCCCCGUCGGCCCUUCCUGUCUCCCGGCUUGCAUCAGCACCAAGUCCGUAUGUCGCGAAUCGAAGUACAAAGAAGCAAUAGUAGAAAUAAGAUAAUUGCUAUUACAAUCGCAAUUUCAUCCAGGACGACGGAACCUUGGUGGUAAAGGGACGCGGGGGGGUUGGAGCGCGAGAGCGGAACGAGGGAAGGGACGGAGAAGGACGACUGCCGCAGAGAGCUGAACUACAAAGUACGUUAAUGUCGUGCUCACACCCCCGUGCACCCCCAGCGCCAUUCCGAUGCCGCAGACAGUUUGUUGUCGAAGCUUCGGGGAUUACACAAAUGAGGUUGUUCAGCGGGAGAAAUGUACAUUCCGCUACAAAGCCGGUGUCCGCGCGCGCCGUGUGCCACGCACGGAAUUAAAAACCGGGGUGGAAGAGCGAAGGUGAAAAGUGCCGCUCUGCCGCGAUCGCCCCUACCCUCCCCCGCGCCGCGGACAAUAUUUUCUUUGCUGAAAGCCGGCGCGCCGUAGAAUGGAUUUUCAUCGGCGCGGCGUUUGAGCCCUUCAAGAACGGAAUUCGUUUUUAUCGGAUACGCGCGCGCUCUCUCUCGCAUCGGAAUAUCGCCGCGGUGACCGGUGUAGUUUUUAAAAAUAGCAUCCUUCGACCUCGAUCGUCGCCGUCAGCGGCUUGAACAUAUUGCAGACGCGUUGACGCGUGUCAGUAAAUCUCUACGAUACGUUCGCGAAUCGGCCGCGUCGGCUUUAAAUGUCUCGGAGGAAAAGCGUUGUUUCCCACGGCCGCGUCACUUUUCAUUAACUAGUAAUACUGAUAUUCUUAAAUUGUUAUUAAUAGUGGUCCAUUAAAUUUCAUUUUUCUUAUGUGAUUUAUAAUAUUUAUAUCUUAUCUGAUUUAUUUUAUAUGUGAGUCUGUAUAACUUUUGUUCUUAAAAAAUUAAUUUACUUCGGUUUUAUUUUAUUCAAAUAUUACAUUAAAAUUGGAUGAAACAUAAGAUUUUACAACUAAGAAUCUCAUAAUUCAAAAUUGUAAUAAUAUUUGAUUAAAAGAAGAACUUUAUAAUAAGAAAUUUGUAAAGAAUUGCACAAGUAAUUUCAAAAGAAAGUAUAUUGUAUAUCCACGUUCAUUCUCACCUAUAUAAUUUUUUUCAAAUGUUCCUAUGUAUAUUUACAAACUUCUAACCAUACCUUAUCCCAUUUACAACUGAUCGCUAAUUAAUGAAAAAUUAAUUAAGGUACAUUCUAUCGCAGAAACAAGUUAUAAUCAAAUGUAAAGAUACGUAUUAAAUUAUUGCAUAAUAAUUUAGAUUCAUACCGUGUAAGAAUUCUGCGCUUACAAAUAUCGCGUGCACUAACACUUCCCAAGUGAAGCCUUGAGAGCUUUUUCGCCUUGUCUAAUCUUUCGCAAAUAGUAGCGAAAUUCUCGGUAAAGUUAGUCUGUGUUUCAGGAAGGAACAGGACGGCAGCCGAGCGCGAUAGUGACGUCGGCGGAAACUAGUUAGGUCGGAGGCCGGCGCAAGUCCGAGGGGGUUGUAACGGAGGCGGCUCUCGUGCCAGCGCACCAUAGGGACCGGGGAUAGUAAUUGUAUACGUACUGGGAGAAUGGCAAGAUAUGCAGCUACACCACCAUCGCGGCGACAGAUUUUCCCCCAGGGACAGUUUCCACGUCCGUCAAGACGCGGCAAAAAGUGAGGACGAUCGACUAUGCCGAGGGCUGCUAUGGCAAGCUGUUUUCCCGGCCGAUGGCGGACAGAUGACGGCGGAGCGGAGGAGCUUAACAAAUGGUCAUUCGGUCGUUGCCACGAAACGCACCUACUUGAGAUGCGGAGGAUCUAUGGCUGCCAUUUCUCACCGGCGCUUUGCGGCCGAAGCAAUACCCUAAGCGGACCACGCAUAAGAACUGUUGAGACAUCCUAGAAGGACUCUCCGAGCAGGUUGAUCACCGUCACGUGGCUUCCGUGGUGUCUUACUGAAAUACUAUGGCGAAACACAAGCGAGGGUUUGCUGAAGUAAUGCGCCGUAAUGACGAAGAAACUUCGCGCUUCAGGAGGAAACCAUUACCCGUUGUUUUAUACGUAGAAUGAAGGACGUACUAAUCUCGUAUGAGAUACAUUUAAGUUAUUAUAUUUAUUUAUUAUAUCUCGUAUAUAUUAUAGAGAUACGGAUAAAAUAGCUAAAUAUACAAUACCGCUCGCAAAAAGUAUUUGCCUGCUUUAUCUUUUUAAUUAUAAUAAAUGAUGAGAAUUUUGAAAAAGAAUGAGUUUUAAUCUUUUUCCUUUUUAAUCUUUUACAUAUUAGACUUAACAAUAAUUUCUUUAGUGACUUCUUCUUCGCAAUUGUCCUUUGAAACGAUACUAUCAAGACUGGCAAGCAAUUCCUCAACUUAUUUGACACGUUUUCCUUUAUUACGUGUACCAAAUAAAGCAGAAGAGUGAUGUUGCUAGAAAAACGAUGAGUUUAGCAUGGAAGUGGAUUUAUAGACGUACGGUUAUGCGGCGCAAGCUGUCAAACGAUCAUCCCUCGACAGUUUGGGGUUUACUGGGACAUCGGACGUAAACUGCCCUCGGGGACCUUGUUAGUUCAAUUCGCCUGAACGCCCCCCUCCCUCCGCCUCUCUCCUCCCUUUCUUUUUCUCUCUCCCACCUCUAAAAAAAUCUCCGUGGUCCCAGAGUCACCACCCUCCCCGUCUUUCCUCCGUCAUCUGGCCGCGCAGCGAGACGAGAACGUGCGUUUACGUUACCGCUUAUUAUGUUGUUCCGGAAAAGAGGAUUAUUGCGAUAUGCCCGCCGUCGAAAAACAGCGCAAAACGCUUCCGGCUAUUGCGAGCUCGCGUUUAAAUCGUUGAACCUUUGUGUAUACAACGUAUGGUGUUUAUUGUUUAAUGUUUCGCGCGCGUUGAAGAAGGUGCCACCGCGUUGCGCGCCCGCUUGUUAAAAUUUUCGCGUUAAAAAUUGUCCGCUUCUUUUGUAAAGUCGGUAAGGAGGACCGUGAAGAUGGAAUACAGAUGGCACAUAUCAAAGAAAUCAAAUGAAAACUCUCAACUAGGAGAAAUUGAAACGGAUUGAAAAUGGUAUUGAAUCCUUUAUAUGUUUCUGAAACAUAUGAGAACUAAAAUUGAAUUGGAUGAUUAAACAUAAUAAAGAUUUUUUUUUUAAGAUAUUGUUCCAUAUUAUGUACUUCAAAUAUUAUAAAUUAUUAUUAUAAAUGCGAACAAUACUCUUUGAAGCUAAAAAGAUCUCAUACAAUAAAUAAAAGUUAGUUUUCAAAUUAAUCUAGUUUUGGUUAUAUCGAAUAUCAUCGUAGAAAUUACAUAUUCGUUCAGUGAUAAAUAUUUCAGACAAAUAAAAAAAUGCUCGCAUAUCUCAUUUUUCGAAAUAUAUUUGAGAGAGUUGGGAUAAACAAAUAUUUAUUUACUGCGACUAAAUUUUCGAAUAGAUUCACAUCCGGCCAAAGCAUUUUCGCUUCGAUGUAUAUUAUAAACGAGUAAAUAUUGGCGCCGGGAAUAAGCCCCGAAAAAAGCAUAAUCUCUGUAACGAUAAAAUUGAGGGAAAAAUUUUCCAAUUUUUCCGGUAAAAUAUAACUCCACGUAACUCCCUUUUAUAUAUGACAUAGUCACAUAACACAGGAGUGACAUUGCCAUCAACGAACUCGCGUAAACUCGUUUCUGUAAAUAAAGAUAUUUAUUCAGAUUUAUUAAGAAAUAUUUAAUGACGCUUGUGCAAGUUUUUAUCAAAUUUUUAUUCAUGCUCAUCGUUUGAUAUAAAAUUUACUUAAAUAAAAUGUUGUUUACAAUUACAUUAUUUCGUUUAUUAAUGAAAAUGAUUUUAAUAAAUAUGAUAUGUGGAUACAAUUUUAAUGUCUGUUAUACUGUUACCUGAAUGUAUGCAUUAAUUUUUUUACUUAUUUAUGAUAUUUUCAAUAUAUUAUAUUGUUGUAUUUUUACUGUUACAUUUUAUAAAAAAAUAUAUGUAUUUAAAAAAUGUAAUAAUUUUCUUUCUUAUUAUUUACACGCGUAUUAGCGUAUCAAUGAUUAUUUCGCAGAACGACCAAUAUAAUUCUAAAAAAACAUGACGACCGUUCAAAAACAAUAUUUUAUUACACCUAGAUUUAUUAUAAUGUUUAAUAAAAUUUAUUAAGAAAAUAAUAACUCGUGUAUACUUGCAAGCAUACAGCCGAGAUCAAGCCUAUUUGACUAAUACGAUUGGCGCGUACGUUUGUAACGUGCCCGAUCAAAGUGAGUAGCGGUAACAGCAGAAAUCAGCCUUUGAAAGCAUUCGCUGAUAUUCGAUAGCCGUGCGCGGGGCUUGGAAAACGGGAAAGGAUAAAGAGAGUGACAAUAAGAGAGGUGAUGGUAGACGAUCGAACGAAACCGCCGGUCAGAGUAUUGUCAAGGUAUUGUCCUGCUCCGCUUCCGAAAUAAUCGUCAAGCCGACCUAAUGGGGCAUAAAGUCCCGAUAUCAAAAUAACUCAUCCGUGUCCGGCACGUGGUCAAACGCGUCGGGCUUUCCUCUCCGCGCUUUUCCGCGCCACCAGAAAGCUCCGGGCGUUAAAAAUAGCGGCGUGAAAAACUCCUUUCUGCGUCUAUUGUCCAACCGCCGAGAUAGAUUCCCCCCCGCGGAAAAAUCUUCGGUCCCGAGUGAUAGCACGCGAAAUCAGACUGUCACCGAGUUUUGACAUUCUCAGCCUCCACGUAAAAACGGUCCGUGCUUUUCAAUAGCGCGCUUUCAGACUUUUAUAUGCCAUAAAUUAAUAUGAACAAAAAAUAUAUAAAUUAUUACAACUAGCACUAAAGUUAUAUACAUGUUUAUUAUAUGUGUCAAAAAUAAUCAUAUGUAAUAAUAAGAUAAAAAAAUAUAUCUUUUUAAGGUUAUACAGUGAAUAUUAUCAUUUUUGUUAAGUAGAUUUAUUGUCAUAAGUAUUGAUAUAUUAAACAAUUUUAUAGAAUUACACAAGUUUUCGUGGAUCUUUCUAACAAUGUAAUUCUAUUUAAUUUCUUAAUAAGGAUCCAAAUAUGAGGUCAAAAUGUCGUGCCAUAUCAUUUUUUAAUUUAAUAAAUCUGCCAGUUUAGUGACAAAAUUAAGAAGUUUCUGAUUCACUUUAAACAAUUUCAAAUACGUUAUUGUCAUUAAUAUAAAUAUAUUUGCAAAGAUAUUAUAAAUAAUGCUAAAAAUAUUUCCAUCAAAUAUGACUUCUUAAAUAAAAGUGAUAUUAUUUCGUUUCUCAAAGUAAUCAAUAAUGAAAUUAGUUGUACUUUCAAAUAUCUGUAAAUAACUAAUCCUUCCUAGAAAAAUGUCAUAUAUAAACUGUUGAAAAUACAGCCAUAUGCUGGCAAUUUCUUCGAUUUCCCGGAAUAUGCGGCAGGAACGCUAAAAAAUUGAUUCUACCAUACAUGCUCAAGACCAUACACAUCUUUAACGAAUGCAGGGUGUAUAGGCCGAAAGUAGUUACGACACAUCAAAUACAAAGUUACAUUUCUGAAGUUGCACGAGCAACUCCGCUAAAUUGCUACAAUGUGUCCUUCCGCGCGUACGUAGAUCGCGUUUAAGCGAGCCUUCGUCGUACUUUUCAACACACAAUGCACAACUCACAUUACAAUGCAUCUAAAUUAUUGAUUACGGAAUAACCCAGAAUAGGACAUAAUCUAAAUUCGUAAUCGCUCGGUAUUCCGUCGUGCAUUGGCAUAAAGAAAAAAAGAUAGUCGUAAUGCCACGAGCCGUAAUAUGCACCGCUCAAGACCCUCAGUCGUUAAAAAAACCGACCAUAGAAUAAUAUCGAAAAAUUACCCGCUUCUCUCCUGUAAUUCAUACAAUUCGAUUAAUAAGUCAGAAAUUUCCCAUGUCAGAAGUCAACGUACUCGGUAAAUGCCCGUAUAUCGGGCACGCAUGUUUAAUGUGGAUCAAAUAGGAAAUAUCAUAUGUAUAUGUGUACGUCGACGUAAGACGGAUUGAUAUUAUAAAUUGAUAAACGUUAAAUGCAUCACCGCGAAGUGCAACAGUUUAAUCGAAUUCAAUUUCAGCGUUUACGUCUGCAUGAAUUUCUUAUAAUACAUUACUGACAUAAUCUUUUUUUUUUUCAAUUUAAAAAUUAUACGAUAUAAUACUGUAUUCUUCGAAAUAUUAAUUUAUUUAAUUAUUAUCUGUUUAACUAUUAUUAAUUUAUUCACUUAUUUCUCCUGAUAAAACAUGUACGCAAAAAAUAUCGUGACAUAUUUCAAUCGAGCGUCAUGAAUAAUUAGACUACUGCACGCUCGACGAUCGAAAUGUACAAGCGAAAUGUGGCGGCGGCACAGAUCGUGCGAAAAUUCGGCAUCAAAUAUAAUUGCGGAGCGUUGCAGGCUGCAUGCGAAAUCGAAGCCCGUUUUAUCGAAAGCCUUUCCUGAGUGAGGCGCACGCGAUCGAUCGCGAACGGCCUCGAAAUCGCGCUUACGUAACGGGCAUCGGAAAGUCGAAAUUACCCUAAAUAGCAACACAGUGUUGGUGGCGCGUAUCGGACCGGCGGAGGGUAUCUACCGCUGAUAGUUGUGGCGGUGGCGGUGGCACGACGAGGGACGCCGGGGACGAGCUCCGCGGGGUGGCCACCACCACCCUCGCAAGCCGGCAACUCGAAAGUAGGAACCGCGACUAUGGGCGAAGCUAAGUCUGUCCGUGUAAUGGGGCAUCGGCACGCGAUUUCUCCGGCCAACCCUCCCCUUUCCCCGCCCUCUACGUUGCACCCCUCGCGAUUCUAACUUUCAACUUCGCUCACGGCUCCCCCGAGCCCCCGCCUGCCCGGCCCAUCGGUGCACCUCAUCCCCGCGUGGCAGGGUGUUGCGCUGUGACUUAUCGGCUCUAAUUAUUCGCCGGCAAGAAAGCGGGCAGGCCGACGAUCAGACCUGCCACCCUCGUAAAGUAGCUUUUCUCUGACGCAUCGCGCGCACCUUCCUACAGCCGUUAACGUGGUAUUCAUUCGUUCGACGCUGGCUCGUGUGCGUAAUUGUUGUAUACUGUUGUGUACACCACCGCGAGCGCCGAUCGUUCGAGCACAACCUCUCGAAAUGAUUAAAGUCGCUUCACCGUCGGCUGUCUUAUCCAUCUAUCAUUGUUUGCCGGAGGAAACGUGUUUCAACCCGUUAACCUGAGUAAUUCGACGUUACGAGAGUUGUUACUGGCCCGGUAUAACUUUUAUUAUAGAAAUGAUAACUGUGUGUCUUUAAUGUAGCUUAAUAUUUGCGUAUUUGCUGAAAUUCAAAUAGAGAUCUGAAAAUAAUUUCUUAUUAGAAAAUAUAUAUGAUUACGUAAGACGUUUGAAUUGGUUGAUAGAACAUUAAAACUUUUGCAGCGUAAUUAUUUUAAUAAUUCAAUCAAAUUUUCGGUUUUGUAUCUAGCUAAAUUUGCAACAUUAAUAACAAAAUAUGAUAAAAUUGUUCACUGUGCUAAUGUUCGUUUCGCUCUCUUUCUCUCUCUCUCGCUUUUUCCUGCCUCCCUCUCUCUCUCUCUCUCUCUCUCUCUCUCUCGUACCAUUGUAUCGAUUUAAAACUUUAUUAUUUCAUUUCUGGCAUAUUACAUGAUUUGCGGGAUGUUGAAAGCAACAAGCACGACUUUUUCAGAAACGGUUUUGGAGCCGCAAAUGGCCUGUUUCCGGAGUCUUAUAUUUAGCUCACAACUUGAUAGAUGUUUACACGCCUGGCGAAGACUUAAUUCGUUCCGAAAGUUUUGCGAGGGGUGAGAAAGUUAUUUAUCUAAAAAACUAAAAUGAAACGCCGAUGGCGUGAUAAAUUUCUGAGUCACGGAAAGGAAUUCUAAUUCUAGCCUGUACACAUCUUGACCCGUUUCAAAGGCGAUCUCUUAAGUGAUAGACACGAAGAUCGGAGACACAGAUCAACGAGGGAACUGGGUAAAAUCGUUACGCUACAACCGGUUUACCAAGCAGGUUCAAUUCAACACACCGACACAUGGAAUUAAUAAUGUAAGCACUAAGCUAUAUCAGUGCUCAAUCCUUGCAGAAGCGGUGCCAACGUACAGUGCAUAUAUAAGCACAGAUACGCUCUACCGUGUAUCUACAAACAGAUGUUGACGGAAUAUCGACGAUCAAAUCAGAAUCUCUAACGAAGAUGUGGCAACUUAAAGAAGGGCAAAUUCUCCUCUCCUCCCCUAAAUAUUAAUAUUAAAGAAAAAUAUGCGACGUUAACAAAAUUCUGCAAAUUUUAUACUUGUAAGCUUUAAUUUGCAUUUAACUUAUUCAAUUUACCUUAUUUUCAGAAGACAGCAAGAAUCAUUUAUUAUGUUUUAGACGAACGAUUUCAAGAUUAAUUCAUACCUUAAACGCAAAAAUAACACCACUGACGGAUAAAAAACAAGCCAAAUAGGAAAAACUGAAUCUCAAAUAAAAUAUGACACAACAAAAAUAGUAGCAAACUUAAAUUCAUGAACGUUAUAUUUAUAGAAUAAAGUCGAAAAAGAUUGACUAGAUUUUAUAAAAUGUAUCUCCUCAUUAAAAGUCUAGUUAUUAGUGUAAAUAAAUACUUGUGAAGAAAAUACUUAAAAAAUUUCAAAAAUAAAUCACGCGUUUCAUCAAACUUUUGUCCAGAUAUUUUAUUCGAGUUGUUUUUUCUAUAUUUAUAUCAAUAAUAAAUAUAAUUACCAUUGUGAGAUAAAAAAUUACAAGUUUACUAUUUCUUCCUUUUAUUCUGUAAUUAUUUUCCUCUUAAUAAUCAUUAAUUAUUAAAAAUAAAUGUAUAAAAAUAUACAUUUCGAAAACAACUUCUAUUUAUUGCGCACGAAAAUUCCCUAAGAACAAAUUUGCUGUUUUCAUUCCAAAAUAUUUACACAAAUAUUAUAAAAAGAUUUCCACGAAAUUAGACGGUGCGCACGUGUGAGGAUCCAGAACCACCCUCUCUCUAAACAGUUCGCUUUGGUGUGAUAAUUUUUCAAUUUGGCUUCAUGCGUUAUUGAAGCUCGCAUUGGAAGCUCGUCAACAAUAUCAGUGGCCCUUUUCGACGAGGAGUCUGAGUGGCUGCCGUACAAAACAAUACUAACCCAGGAUAAGCGAUCUCCCUUCUCCCUCGUAGCCGACCUCGUGUCUACCACUACGUUCCAGCCCUAUCCGGGAGUAAGAAGAGUGUAAGCAAUGCACAUGUUGUGUGCUACCAUGUUUUUUACAUCAGCCAGACGAUACUCAAGUCGCGAAGUAAGAGAGGACGUCCGUCCAUGUUAAUCGCCGGUACAUGCGCGCCACGCACACGCAGAACUGUUUGCGGAAGUUCGUUACAAGUUUCUCCUCGGCUGCCGCUAUCCUUCUGCUUGCUUAUGAUCCCCUGUGACUUCAUGAUGCCGGCGAGCCUCCACUGCGGUCAGCUAAUUCUUUUUUUUAUUCUGCGGUUAUUAUCGUCAUAUAUCGUCAUAUAUUCAUCGAUUAAUGAAUCGAAAUAUCAUGUAAUGUUUUUUCAAGCAUUUUUAUCAUUCUUUGAUAGUUUGAUUAUAAGAUUUAAAAUUAAAAUAAUCAUAAAAUAACUAACGUUAAACGUAAUGCUAAUUCUCGAUUUUAAAGUAAUGGAGGUUUAAAAAUUACCUUACAAUUAACCCAAUUAAAUUAAACAUAAUAUGUAAAAUAAAAAAAAGUUGUAUGCGUACAGCACUGAAUUUUGAUGCGUCAUUAUUUCUUUUAUAUUAUUAUUAUUAUUAUUAUUAUUACUGCCGUAAUGUAUCUAUCUCUGACAAACUUCGAUCUCAUCAAAAGAAUCUAAUGUAUUCUGCAAAAUGUCACGGAAGUCGUUUCUUCUCGUUCUCCCAUUCUUCUCUCGAAUUUUAGAAUAAUUUUUACAUGCAAUUUUUACGACGCGAGUAGUUUAUAAAGCGACUGCAUCAAAAAAUCUACCGAUGAUCAUCCGCACAGUUUCCCGCAUUACGUCAACGUACGACUCAAAACACUGACGCAGAAAACGCAUCACGAUUGUUUGCAACUCGGCCGGCCUGUCGAGCUUACACUGUGUUUAAUAUAUAACGAUUGUAUAUAUACACAGAAUGGACGGAGAGUGGCGAUAUAGACGGAGAUGAAUGGGGUAAAGAGGCGGAGGGUUGACGUUGAAUACGGCAAAGGAGGACGGGAGCGAGGUGGAAAGCUUACACGUACGAGAGAAGGGAGAGAGGAGAGAAAGGUUACCGGGGAAGAGGUGCGGGAGGGUGGCGCGCGAGGGCGGGAACCACCAGUCGUUUGUCGUCCGAUAGAUAAACAACGUCGUUAUUGUAAAUGCAUUGGAACAACACGCUGCGGGGCUUCAUUGGCGGCUUUUCUUCGCGAUGCGAAGCGGCGCGCGCCCGUCGUUGUUUACGAGAUCGAUAGUCCGAUCGUUAGGAGAUCGAUUUUAUCGUAUCGCCUCUCGAGACGGGGAGAAACAAUCAUUGUAACGUAUCGCCGUUGUACUACGGUUCGGCGCUUACUCUCUCUCUCUCUCUCUCUCUCUCUCUCUCUCUCUCUCUCUCCUUUUUUCUUUUUCGGUAUGCGAAGAAUCGGCCGCUGUCCAUCUCUCUCCCGAUCAGCCCCGACGUCAUCCAAUGUCGUUCAUGCGCUCACGCUCACCCUUUCGCCCUCAUCCCUCCUUCCCUUUUCACCCUCGCCAUUUCCACCCCUCUCACUCUCUCGGGGGAUGAUGGACUUGCACGGCGGACGACGUAGAACAGAGAAUAACAAGGCAGGUCACGCGAUACAGGCGCGGAUGCAACGAAAUUACACACCGAUCUCUCUGUCUCUCGCGCGAUCGUACGCCCCUAUGAAAUAUUUGUUCCGUUAUAAUGUAAUACUGAUUCGCGAAUAUUCCGCUGUUUUUUCCAUUUACGCGCAAAGGGGCCACGCGCGAGACGGAUACUAGGACAUUCGAUCUCGCGUGAAUCGUGCUCGCGCCCGGAGAUCGCGCGUUGCGUUCCCCGACGAUUUUCAUUCUCGGACGACGACGGCGGGACAGGAUAUUUUAUCCAGAAAAAUUUUGAUACACUCGUGACUUCCUCGUAAGUCCCGGCGAGCCCGACCACGGCGGAAUCGAGCCGAUAUUUAUGUGCGAGGGCGCGCGCGCGCGUGGACUUUCAUUUGACUGUAAUAACAUGUCGCGCGCACGAGACGUAGUGUUUGCAAGGGGGUAAUUCGGGAUGCAAAUUAAUGCGCGUAAUGGCGAUAAUACGGGCGGAGCUGCGCGCUUUUUCGCGACGGGCUGCUCCGUUGAAACGUAACGCCGCCAAUAGGGAGCGGAAAAUCUGAUCCCGAGUUCUUCCGGUGCAUUGCCGGCAGAAGUAACAUUUGCAUGCCAUAUUGAGAUUUUUGUAUUGUUUGCGCGGAUAAUGAUGGAUCUUCGUUGUUGAUUGCGCACUAAUGAUUCCUUAUUAAGCCGGCCUGCGCCGAGUUUCUGGAAGCGAUAAGGAAAUUGUUGGGAAAUACAGAUUCCCGAGAUAAUCGCGGGAUAAUCGCAUUAGGUUGAAUCCCGCGGUGGGAUCUCCUCCUCAAAAUAAACGUUGAAGCAAGCGAGGUCGCGCGGGCAAACGAUACAAAUGCACCGUCGAACAAUUGGGGCAACGCAAUAAUUUUCAAUGGCAACGAAAUCGCCGGGUCAAUUGAAUCAUAAAUGAUACCGCCAAACCGUAAAUAACUUGUACAACUUCGUUCGCGCGCUAUCGCCUUAAAUUUCUUGCUCGCGGCUUACAAUACGGUGGAACCUUGAGGUUCAUUUGAACCGUCCUUUUUUUUUUUCCGGACGACCCGCUUCGGCCGAGCGAUCGUUUCCUCGAUUUCUCAACCGCAUUUAAGUGCGGUGCUAUGACGGACUGUACGGUGACCAUGAGAGCCCGACGCCCGCUGUUUGUUCCUCGCUUUAUCUCGAACGUAAACAUCGCUUGGAAUAUAUAGGCGGUGGUGUUAGGAGCGACCGAGAUGCACGGUACGAACGAAUGCGUGCACCUACGCGCCGCGGAGGGAAGAAGAAGAACGAAGGCAGGCGGCGAAGAAGAAGAAGACGACGACGACGACGACGACGACGACAACGACGACGGCGACAGCCGGGGCACGCAAGGACCUAGCCGGAGGAAAAAGGAGAAACGAAAAUAGAAGGACGGACACACAUGGUCGUGCAGGACGGACGGACACUGGAUAAACAAGGGGCAAUAGAGAUAAACAGAGAAUAUUACGAGAAAUAUGCGCAAACACGAAACUCUCGUUCCUCCUCUCGCGCAUGGUCUUCUCGCUCCCACACACACACACACAACACACAUACACCUACACACGUACAUACACCGCCGUCCUCUUUCCGCUCGCUUUCGUUUGUUUGGCCGCGUGUUUGCCCCCGCCGCUCAUCCGCGCCGCUCAUUUGCAACCUACUUUUUUAAGCCCUGCUCUCUCCCUCUCCUUUGCUCCGCUCCCGCCCCCGCAUCGCACUCACCCCUCGCGGUCGUCAUUCCCAUUGCUCGCUCGCUCGCUUGCUUGCUACGUCGCAUUGCUGCUUAAUUUAUACCCCGCCAAUGUUUCGUUAAAGAUUUUCUCGCUCGUCGAGAAACGCUCGCUUUCUGCUCCUCGAGUAUGUUUGGCCGUAAAGUUUUUGCCGUAAGUUUCAAAUGCAUUCGACACCAUGGAAAAAUAAUUGAAUAGCCACGUGAGAUUUGUUUCUCCCAAGUAAUGUAACCCUUCAUUUCGAGUGCAAGUAUGCGGUUGGUGAUAGUCUCAAAAAUUUAUUGUUAAUUCUGGAACACUAUUGAUAUUGAAUACUAUAGUUAUUUGUAAUUACAUAAAUUAUGUAUUUAUGAAUCAUUCUUAAUUUAAAAAUCAGUCACGUACGUAUUAUUAAGAGAGCUACAAUGUUAAACAAUUAAUGUAGAAACAAUGUAGAGAACAAUGUUGAGAAAAACAAUGUAUUUUCAAUAUUGUAAAUUACUGUAGUUUCACAAAACGCAGCGUGUCACUUCUUCAACAUAUUCAAAGCGUCUAUCGUGUAAUGCAUUUCAAUUACAAAACCUAGCAUAAGAAUCUUUGAAAAAAGAACUACAUGUGUAGUUUUAGUCAGCGCGUGACUCAUCAGUAGUUGCUAUAUAGAGAUAAUUUUUCUAAGGAUUUCUUUCUAAGAUAAACUACCGUAACGUGUGCAAAAUUAAAUUGCACGAAAAGUUGCAAACCCAAUAUUAAUUUAAUAAACAUGAACGCACAAUAUAAUUUUCAAUAAUACGGCGAAAUGGAUAAGUUUGUGACGUUUAAGAAAAUUAACUCUGUAAUGUUGCGACGUACGCGACAUUUUCAGUCGAUGACGUACUUUGCAAAUUUACAUACGCAAACAAGUUGCGCCAAUACAAAUAGGCAGAAGCAAAUAGCGAAGCCGCACUAACGAAACUUUUAUGAGCGAGCUAAUUGUCAGAACGGUAUACGUGACUGCGACUCAACUGCAACAAAGCAUUAUUCGAAUUAUAACAUCAAGUAAUGUCGAAUAUUAUGCAUAAACGUUCGUUAAUUGUUUUAUUUAAGAUGAAUUCAAUAUAAUGAAAAAUAAAUGACGCAUCAAUUCAUUAAUAGUUUUACAAGAAAAAGUGACCUCGAAACCAAUAAAUAUAAAUACGUUAUAUAGAACAAUUAAUACAUUAAAAUAUUGUUUUUUGACUGUAACGGGUAUCGUUUUUCGAGACAUUUCCAUAAAAUGAUUAUUAAUUUCAACUUGUUUAAUUCUUGUAAUUAAUAGCAUUUUGUAUCAUAUUUCUCAUUAUUAUAGGAUUGAAAUUUGCAUAGAAUAUUAAAUUUUACUGCAUUUUACAAUUUACCUUUUUUUUAAAUUUAUCUUGAAAUCAAAAGUUAUAUAUUCAUUCGAUUAUGUUAUUAAGUAAAUUGCAUGGUGCGAGGAAAAAUUCAUUUAACAUUUCGGAGAAAAUAAUUAUUAAAGCAGGAUCAUAUUUCUUUCGUAAUGGAACAAUAUCGUUUCGAUCAAUUCACAUAAUACUUCACUUUGCUGCAAGUACUUCAUAAUUUUGCGUAUACGGUCGAAGUGAAAUUAGGUCAAUAACGAGACGUGGAAGAACUUGCCGCUGAACGGAAGAUUAAUACGCAGAAUCUUUCUUCAAUUAAUAAACGCUUACUCAUCCGCCCCCGCAUUCGCAGCCAAUGCUGAUUUUAUUACAGAGCCGUUUAUUCCGGCGAAUUUAAAAGAUACAAACAUCAUUUGUCAUAAUGUCCGCGCUGCCGCUUAUUUUUCUCAAUUCUUUACGCCAGUUGAUUGAUCGAUUAAUCUUGCCUUGUCAAUCUUCCGGUAUGCAAGCUCUUGCGGAGCGACUGCGCAAUCGCCAGAUCGGUAACAACAUACCGGAGAGCCUAUAAUCAAGCGUUCACGCUCUUGCGUAAUUGAUCAAAGAUCGUUGAAGCAAUACGAUGACAAAUACAUUGUCAUACUACAAAUUAUCCAGUACCUUUAUCAAUAUUUUUCGCUUCUGAUAGGGCAACCUGCCGUUUUGCAAAUAUGCGAAAUACAAAUUUAAUAGUGUAAAAAUGUUAAAUAAGGAGUGCGCUUGGAUUUUUUAGAUGUCAAAUAAUUUUGUAAGAAAACAUCAUUUAACGAAUCAAGAAUAAUUAUCCGAAUACUUUUUACGUAUCGCGAUUACGUUUCAUAUUUUUAAAUAUUUUGAUUAUUAUUAUAAUAAACUUUCUGAGCGCGAUUUUUAAAUUUCGUGAGUUCUGUUUAAUCACUGACUGGAAGGCGUUCUUCGUCGAGACAUUCGCAAUAACCUCAGACAAAAAAAUGUUGCGGCACGUAUCAAUCGCCGGACGCUCGAUUAUUCGAGCACAACCGAAGGUGUCCAAAAAAUUCGCAGUGUCCAUCCCGGCUCUCUCGGACUACCGAUAUAGGGACGAGACACGAAAGGGAAUGAAUGCAGACGGGACAGGUAAGGUAUUUGACGGUCUAUGGUGCCUGGGGUACGUCGAGGGCAGACUAUAUAAUUUCCCUUGAGGGAGAUCGGGAUGGGCGAUACGGGGGUGGGCUGGAGGGGCCAGCGAAAAAAGGGACGGCAAAAGGGGUGGGGGAGAGGGGGCAAGGGAGAUCGGCGUGUUUUCCAGGUAGGGAGGUGCCGCGCUCAUCCGCGAGCCCAUCAACGCAACCAUCCUCCGACAAUCGAUUAUUAUCUUUCCAAUUUGCAUAGCAACCGAGCUCUUGUUCAAAUCUGCACCCCCUGUUUCGACCCCUUUGGCAACCCCUUGCAAAUCCUGCCCCGGCCGCCAGCGUGACUCCUCGUCAGGCACUCCGUAUCGUUUCUGUUACGCUGUCGGCUUUUUCUGUCCCGGGCAUUCACGUUCAAUCUCCUUGCCAAGGAUGAGGGGAGGGAUAACUUGAGGGUGCUCUUGAAAAUCGCGAGGCGGCCCUUGCCUCGUUUCGCACGCGGGAUGCUCAUUUUUUUCGCCGUGAUCCCAAAUUUUAAUCUAACGUCUUGUUACGAGCAAAGAUUUUUCAUUAGGGCACUGAGUGUAUUUGGCAGACGAAAUAUUCGCAAUAAUAUAAAGGUAUGACAUAAGCACAUGUAAAAUAUAUCGUAAAUGUGCAUUUAUAAAUGAAGAAGAACGCUUCACACCAAAUGUUUAGAUGUUUAAAUAAAAUCGUGCACAUAUUAAAAACAGCAAAAUAGACUUUGUCCUGGACAUAAAUAAAAUUCCAUACCACGCGUGUAGAUCAAUCCUUAAUGUGACAUUUUAUAUAUUGAAUUCUUUUUUAAAAUUUUGAUUUAUUGAUUUUCAUGUGUGCAUUGUGACAUAUGGCAAAUCUUUCUUCCAAUUUCUUAUUCCUUCAUUGUCAGUCAAAUCUAUCUGUUAUUUAACGCCAUGCAAUUAUACUGAUUUAGAUAUUCACGACAUACGAUCGUACUUUUCUUAAACUCUACUUUUCAUGAACUCGUAACGUGUGUCUUACGACGACAAUGUAUAUUUACUUUCCGACAUUUAUUCGAUUAUAUUCGAUUCGAUUUCAACUCUGUCGCGUUAUGUUGUAAAAGUAUUAUAACAUUAUCUAUUUUCAUCAAAUAACAAGAUACAUAAUUAAAAA